GAGAUUCACGAAAGCUGGCUUCACUGGUCAGAAUUUCUCCAGGAAGAAGACCUGAAGGACAGCAAGAGAUACCACUACAGAGUUUGCUGGAGUGUGCCAACACGCCGAAAACCUAUCCCCCGAGCAACAGCAAAUGUCUACUUUGUGAUAGAGAUCUCCAAAAUCAAACCUGCGACCUCGCCUGUGGAGGUAUUCUUCACUCUGGAGGCCAGCAAGCUGAUUCACAGGCCAGACCAGUGUCGGUUUAGAGAAAAGUGGCUUAAGGACAUCAUUGAAAAUAAAACAAUCCUCAUGGAAACACUUAAAUUCUAAUGAACACAGUGAAGAAGAGUGGCUCUUCCCUGUCAGCAUUUCUACUUUGUGGAUACAUAAACAACAUUAAAUCUAUGCAAAGUUAAUUAUGCCUGACCCUUUCAGGUAUGGGUGGGUACAGCAGGACAGAGCCAGAUACCAGAAUGUAAGCAG